UACGGAGGAUGCAAGCGUUAUCCGGAAUUACUGGGCGUAAAGCGUCUGUAGGUGGUUUAAUAAGUCAACUGUUAAAUCUUGAAGCUCAACUUCAAAACCGCAGUCGAAACUAUUAGACUAGAGUAUAGUAGGGGUAAAGGGAAUUUCCAGUGGAGCGGUGAAAUGCGUAGAGAUUGGACAGAACACCGAUGGCGAAGGCACUUUACUGGGCUAUUACUGACACUCAGAGACGAAAGCGAGGGUAGCAAAUGGG
rnacentral:rRNA from 1 species